AUGGAGACGAAUGAGAAGAACGCCGCUGAUUUGGAGGAGAAGAACCAGCCCAGCGGGCACAGCCAGCAGCCGAGCUUCCACGGACCGGGCUUCUCGCUCUCGCCGGAAGCUCAGAUGGAUUCUUCCAGCAGUGCGCUGGCCGCCAUGGGGAAUCCGUUCCCUCCUGGCUUAUGGAACCCACCUGGCCAGAACUUCGGGUUGGGGGAGACCAACACGAACGCUAUGCUGAAUGGACACCAGUUCUCCUCGUUUUUGGGGAUGCUGUCAGCAGCAACGCCCGCAUAUCCCGGCGCCCAGUCGGGGUUCAUGGAUUGCGGAACAGGGUUUCCUGGCUUAAGUGCAAACAGUCUUGGAGCCAUGAUGGAUCACCCUUUUUCCAGGAACCCUCCUAUGGGUAGUUUCCAAAACGAUAUUGAGACGUCUAGGGAGAUGAAUGUGGACGAAGGUUGCAAGGAUGCAUUAUUGACUGGUGAUAGGCAGCAAGGAGAUGCCGAGAGUUCACAUGGUGUUGAUGCCUCUAGCAAGGAGUUAAGCAAGCCGGAGUGCAGUGGAGGUGCUGGUCAGGAUGAAGGGCCUAGUGUCUCUUGUCCCAAGAAGAGGAAAAGACCAAGCCAGGAUCGUGGGGUGAAGAAUGUACAAGAAGGAAGCCAGCAAUUGGCAACUCUGGCUGCAAAGCAGGAGAAAGAUGAUGAUGACAAAGAUGAACCAAAGAGGCCUAUUGGGACAUCCAGAAAGUCCAACGGUAAGCAAACUGAGGAUAAAUCUGAUGCGCCAAAGGAAGAUUACAUUCAUAUAAGAGCUCGAAGUGGCCAGGCUACAAACAGCCAUAGUCUUGCAGAAAGGGUUCGGAGGGAAAAGAUUAGUGAAAGGAUGAAAUUUCUUCAGGACCUUGUUCCUGGUUGUAGUAAAGUCAUUGGCAAAGCCGUUAUGCUGGAUGAGAUAAUCAAUUAUGUUCAAUCAUUACAGCGGCAAGUUGAGUUUUUGUCGAUGAAACUUUCAGCUGUCAAUCCAGCGCUAGACUUCAACAUAGAGCGCAUUCUAUCUAAGGAGUUAUUUCAGUCUCAAGGAACUGCAUCGUCUACCUUUGGCUUCUUACCAGACAUUGGCCAUCAAUUUUUGCAUCCACCAAAACAUUCUCAAGCUGCGUUGCACAGCAUCGUAAAUCCUGCCGAUGCAUUUGGAAGAGUAACAAAUGCUCCGGUAGGAUGUACAUUCAAAGAGGCCACACAUCAGGUGCCCAAUAGUUUUGAUGGAGAGUUCCACAACGUAAUCGGGAUGCCUUUUACCCUUUUUAACGACCAAGAAUCAAAUGGUAAACCAUGA
rnacentral:rRNA from 1 species